rnacentral:lncRNA from 1 species
GGAGAAGCCUCCAGGGGAGGACAAUCAUUGCAAAACUACAUGGAAGAAGAUGACUCUUUAAAGCAAUUACAAGUAGUUCAUCAACCAUGGAUAUUGCCAAGCGACACAGAAAGUGAAGGAGUGGAAGCAGAACAAGAUAAACGUCUGUGAAACAGGCAGAAGAAGUUGCAAAUGGUCCUUUAAAAAAAAUUGCUGUUAUUCAAAUCCUUAUGUAGAGUUCUAAUUUUAUUUACUAUGUGUAAUCAUUUAGAGAAUGGUUAUUUUUAUAAUAUCAAUAAUAAACAAGGACUCUUGU